AACGAACGCUGGCGGCAUGCCUAACACAUGCAAGUCGAACGAGACCUUCGGGUCUAGUGGCGCACGGGUGCGUAACGCGUGGGAACCUGCCUUUAGGUUCGGAAUAACUCAGAGAAAUUUGAGCUAAUACCGGAUAAUGUCUUCGGACCAAAGAUUUAUCGCCUUUAGAUGGGCCCGCGUAAGAUUAGCUAGUUGGUGGGUAAAGGCCUACCAAGGCGACGAUCUUUAGCUGGUCUGAGAGGAUGAUCAGCCACACUGGGACUGAGACACGGCCCAGACUCCUACGGGAGGCAGCAGUGGGGAAUAUUGGACAAUGGGCGAAAGCCUGAUCCAGCAAUGCCGCGUGAGUGAUGAAGGGCCUUAGGGGUUGUAAAAGCUCUUUUACCCGUAGAUGAUAAUGACAGUAUCGGGAGAAUAAGCUCGGCUAACUCCGUGCCAGCAGCGCGGUAA
rnacentral:rRNA from 1 species